UAUCCUGGAGACCUUUGACGUUUGUUCUUACUUGUUUUUCAGAUUCAUCUGGAUAAUAUCUGUGCACGAGGGCCCCAUCCUGGGUCUGGGAGUCCCGCGGAGCAGGUCCGUCACUGUUUGUCUCUGCAGCAGAAGUGUAAAUGGUGACUCUGUUACAGCGCUGUUCUUUGUCUUUUUCGGAAGUCAAGGCAGAGAGCCACAGUCAAGGCCAAGUAGGCAAGGUGGUCCACUUGCCAUCUCUCCUGGCCGAGCAUGCCCGAUGUCAGGUGCUGUCACCGCUCCAGGCAUGCCAAAGAACAGAGGAGAGCAGGUAUCCUUUGAGCAGCCUCUGGAGUAGAAUCAGGAUUUGAGGUACCCGGAGGAGGUUUGCAGCCAAAGUUUGGAAACGGCAGCACCGAAGCAAACACGGAGAACGUCCCGACGUCCACGUACAACCGACGAUGGAUUUCGUCCGCUCGUCUUCCAAAAGCUAAGUGUCGCGGCCAGUAGUUGGGAGAAGGGGAAAAACCUUUACUAUCACAGGGGGCAAUUUGAUGUCAGUUUAGCGCAGAGGUCUGUAGCGGGACGGGCUCUCUGGAAGCAAAGGGAGAGGGUUUCUCCUCAGCCUCACCACAGCCUCUGCCGGGCAGGGCAGUUCCGACCCAUCUCCACAUUGUCGUAAACUUUGCGUCGUCAGCCUUCUUCAACUCGACAUCGUCACGGAUCUUUCGCCCGAGGAGUUCGCCUUCAGGUCCGGAGCUACGGCCACGGUCAACCGGCGGUCUCCGCUUCCUUCUCUAGGCCCACCGAGCCUCUCGAGCGUCCUCUUAACCGCUUCGGCGCUAACUUCUUUUAACGAGUUACAUUUCAUCAUUACAUCCUAUCGUCAUACGGCUUUCUUUCCUUUUGCAUCAUCAGCCCCCGGCUCAUCUUGCGCUAGCAAUCUCGGGUCCAUAAGGUGAAAGCGCCAGGCAGUUUCCACUCGUCUCUCCGUUACAUCAUCCGUGUCUAUGUUACGUCAUCCAUGUCCGUGUUACGUAGUCUGUCUCCACCGUCUUCCAUGUCGUAGGCCUUCGUUCCAUCCCAGCUCUUUACGGGCACUAUUUCUUGCCAUAUCGGCCGUAUUUUACACACAUUCCUUCACUUAUUCCGGCAUCUUUAAAUCUUUACUCUUUGAGACAGGAAAGAUUACACAAGAUGUCCUCAUCCAUCUUCCUUCUCGCUACCGGCUUUGGUAGCGCCUUUUCCUCCACGCCAUUCUCUUGGACUUUUAGAGGGAGUGUCUUACACCCUCCUCACGUGACCGCAGUAGUUCUCUAGGUUCCAUCUUCUCAAAGGGUAUAGGGCUCAAGAAUUAAUCUUUCAGAGAGUUAUGUCAAGUCCUGGCUUAUACCUUAUCUACCUGUGUUGGCUUAUACUCUGUGUACUUAUACUGUAUCUACCUGCGUUGGCUUAUAUUGUAUGUACUCUAUAUUGUCUGUACCUAUGUUGGCUUAUAGUGUAUGUACUUAUAUUGUCUGUACCUAUGUUGGCUUAUAUUGUCUGUAAUUAUGUUGGCUUAUAGUGUCUGUACCUUUAGUGUCUGUACCUAUGUUGGCUUAUAGUGUCUGUACCUAUGUUGGCUGUCCCUAUGUUGGCUUAUAGUGUCUGUACCUAUGCUGGCUUAUAGUGUCUGUACCUAUGUUGGCUGUACCUAUGUUGGCUUAUAGUGUCUGUACCUAUGCUGGCUGUACCUAUGUUGGCUUAUAGUGUCUGUACCUAUGUUGGCUUAUAGUGUCUGUACCUAUGUUGGCUUAUAGUGUCUGUACCUAUGUUGGCUUAUAGUGUCUGUACCUAUGUUGGCUUAUAGUGUCUGUACUUAUAGUGUC